UACGUAGGCAGCGAGCGUUGUUCGGAGUUACUGGGCGUAAAGAGUAUGUAGGCGGUUCUGCAAGUUCGGUGUGAAAUCUCCCGGCUCAACUGGGAGGGUGCGCCGAAAACUGCAAGGCUAGAGUGUGGGAGAGGAAAGCGGAAUUCCUGGUGUAGCGGUGAAAUGCGUAGAUAUCAGGAGGAACACCGGCGGUGUAGACGGCUUUCUGGACCAUAACUGACGCUGAGGCACGAAAGCGUGGGUAGCAAACAGG
rnacentral:rRNA from 1 species